rnacentral:rRNA from 1 species
CUGCAUGGCUGUCGUCAGCUCGUGUCGUGAGAUGUUGGGUUAAGUCCCGCAACGAGCGCAACCCUUAUCCCUAGUUGCCAUCAGGUAAAGCUGGGAACUCUGGGGAGACUGCCGGUGAUAAACCGGAGGAAGGCGGGGAUGACGUCAAGUCCUCAUGGCCCUUACAUCCCGGGCUACACACGUGCUACAAUGGCAGGUACAGAGGGCUGCGAAGCCGCGAGGUGGAGCGAAUCCCAGAAAACCUGUCUCAGUCCGGAUUGAAGUCUGCAACUCGACUUCAUGAAGGCGGAAUCGCUAGUAACCGCGAAUCAGCAGGUCGCGGUGAAUACGUUCCCGGGCCUU